AUGAGAGGGAGAGAGAGAAGGAAGGAGAGGAGAGGAGGGAGAAAGAGAGAGGAAAGAGGAGAGGGAGGUGUGGCGGCUGACGGGAGAGGGUCAUCGGCCGGCGUCGGCCUGCGUCGACGAGAUCUGCUCUGCUUGUUUUGGUUCCUUUUGAUUGAUGCAUUAUUUUUGUCUAUUUCUGUGUACCCAGGUGACUAUGCAAGUUGCAUUGACAGAAUCCAUGUACUAAACUGGGGCAUUUUUGGCAGCUGCAGCAACCUGACAAUUAAUUCGUUCUCGUCCAAGGUAAUUUACUUCCCCCCUUUAUGUAUCAUGGAUGGAUAUAUGUGA
rnacentral:rRNA from 1 species